rnacentral:rRNA from 1 species
UACGAAGGGGGCUAGCGUUGCUCGGAAUCACUGGGCGUAAAGGGCGCGUAGGCGGCCAAGUAAGUUGGGGGUGAAAGCCCGUGGCUCAACCACGGAAUUGCCUUCGAUACUGCUUGGCUUGAGACCGGAAGAGGUGAGUGGAACUGCGAGUGUAGAGGUGAAAUUCGUAGAUAUUCGCAAGAACACCAGUGGCGAAGGCGGCUCACUGGCCCGAUACUGACGCUGAGGUGCGAAAGCGUGGGGAGCAAACAGG